rnacentral:rRNA from 1 species
GGUUAAGCGACUAAGCGUACACGGUGGAUGCCCUGGCAGUCAGAGGCGAUGAAGGACGUGCUAAUCUGCGAUAAGCGUCGGUAAGGUGAUAUGAACCGUUAUAACCGGCGAUUUCCGAAUGGGGAAACCCAGUGUGAUUCGUCACACUAUCAUUAACUGAAUCCAUAGGUUAAUGAGGCGAACCGGGGGAACUGAAACAUCUAAGUACCCCGAGGAAAAGAAAUCAACCGAGAUUCCCCCAGUAGCGGCGAGCGAACGGGGAGGAGCCCAGAGCCUGAAUCAGUGUGUGUGUUAGUGGAAGCGUCUGGAAAGGCGCGCGAUACAGGGUGACAGCCCCGUACACAAAAAUGCACAUGCUGUGAGCUCGAUGAGUAGGGCGGGACACGUGGUAUCCUGUCUGAAUAUGGGGGACCAUCCUCCAAGGCUAAAUACUCCUGACUGACCGAUAGUGAACCAGUACCGUGAGGGAAAGGCGAAAAGAACCCCGGCGAGGGGAGUGAAAAAGAACCUGAAACCGUGUACGUACAAGCAGUGGGAGCCUCUUUAUGGGGUGACUGCGUACCUUUUGUAUAAUGGGUCAGCGACUUAUAUUCUGUAGCAAGGUUAACCGAAUAGGGGAGCCGAAGGGAAACCGAGUCUUAACUGGGCGUUAAGUUGCAGGGUAUAGACCCGAAACCCGGUGAUCUAGCCAUGGGCAGGUUGAAGGUUGGGUAACACUAACUGGAGGACCGAACCGACUAAUGUUGAAAAAUUAGCGGAUGACUUGUGGCUGGGGGUGAAAGGCCAAUCAAACCGGGAGAUAGCUGGUUCUCCCCGAAAGCUAUUUAGGUAGCGCCUCGUGAAUUCAUCUCCGGGGGUAGAGCACUGUUUCGGCAAGGGGGUCAUCCCGACUUACCAACCCGAUGCAAACUGCGAAUACCGGAGAAUGUUAUCACGGGAGACACACGGCGGGUGCUAACGUCCGUCGUGAAGAGGGAAACAACCCAGACCGCCAGCUAAGGUCCCAAAGUCAUGGUUAAGUGGGAAACGAUGUGGGAAGGCCCAGACAGCCAGGAUGUUGGCUUAGAAGCAGCCAUCAUUUAAAGAAAGCGUAAUAGCUCACUGGUCGAGUCGGCCUGCGCGGAAGAUGUAACGGGGCUAAACCAUGCACCGAAGCUGCGGCAGCGACACUAUGUGUUGUUGGGUAGGGGAGCGUUCUGUAAGCCUGUGAAGGUGUGCUGUGAGGCAUGCUGGAGGUAUCAGAAGUGCGAAUGCUGACAUAAGUAACGAUAAAGCGGGUGAAAAGCCCGCUCGCCGGAAGACCAAGGGUUCCUGUCCAACGUUAAUCGGGGCAGGGUGAGUCGACCCCUAAGGCGAGGCCGAAAGGCGUAGUCGAUGGGAAACAGGUUAAUAUUCCUGUACUUGGUGUUACUGCGAAGGGGGACGGAGAAGGCUAUGUUGGCCGGGCGACGGUUGUCCCGGUUUAAGCGUGUAGGCUGGUUUUCCAGGCAAAUCCGGAAAAUCAAGGCUGAGGCGUGAUGACGAGGCACUACGGUGCUGAAGCAACAAAUGCCCUGCUUCCAGGAAAAGCCUCUAAGCAUCAGGUAACAUCAAAUCGUACCCCAAACCGACACAGGUGGUCAGGUAGAGAAUACCAAGGCGCUUGAGAGAACUCGGGUGAAGGAACUAGGCAAAAUGGUGCCGUAACUUCGGGAGAAGGCACGCUGAUAUGUAGGUGAAGUCCCUCGCGGAUGGAGCUGAAAUCAGUCGAAGAUACCAGCUGGCUGCAACUGUUUAUUAAAAACACAGCACUGUGCAAACACGAAAGUGGACGUAUACGGUGUGACGCCUGCCCGGUGCCGGAAGGUUAAUUGAUGGGGUCAGCGCAAGCGAAGCUCUUGAUCGAAGCCCCGGUAAACGGCGGCCGUAACUAUAACGGUCCUAAGGUAGCGAAAUUCCUUGUCGGGUAAGUUCCGACCUGCACGAAUGGCGUAAUGAUGGCCAGGCUGUCUCCACCCGAGACUCAGUGAAAUUGAACUCGCUGUGAAGAUGCAGUGUACCCGCGGCAAGACGGAAAGACCCCGUGAACCUUUACUAUAGCUUGACACUGAACAUUGAGCCUUGAUGUGUAGGAUAGGUGGGAGGCUUUGAAGUGUGGACGCCAGUCUGCAUGGAGCCGACCUUGAAAUACCACCCUUUAAUGUUUGAUGUUCUAACGUUGACCCGUAAUCCGGGUUGCGGACAGUGUCUGGUGGGUAGUUUGACUGGGGCGGUCUCCUCCUAAAGAGUAACGGAGGAGCACGAAGGUUGGCUAAUCCUGGUCGGACAUCAGGAGGUUAGUGCAAUGGCAUAAGCCAGCUUGACUGCGAGCGUGACGGCGCGAGCAGGUGCGAAAGCAGGUCAUAGUGAUCCGGUGGUUCUGAAUGGAAGGGCCAUCGCUCAACGGAUAAAAGGUACUCCGGGGAUAACAGGCUGAUACCGCCCAAGAGUUCAUAUCGACGGCGGUGUUUGGCACCUCGAUGUCGGCUCAUCACAUCCUGGGGCUGAAGUAGGUCCCAAGGGUAUGGCUGUUCGCCAUUUAAAGUGGUACGCGAGCUGGGUUUAGAACGUCGUGAGACAGUUCGGUCCCUAUCUGCCGUGGGCGCUGGAGAACUGAGGGGGGCUGCUCCUAGUACGAGAGGACCGGAGUGGACGCAUCACUGGUGUUCGGGUUGUCAUGCCAAUGGCACUGCCCGGUAGCUAAAUGCGGAAGAGAUAAGUGCUGAAAGCAUCUAAGCACGAAACUUGCCCCGAGAUGAGUUCUCCCUGACUCCUUGAGAGUCCUGAAGGAACGUUGAAGACGACGACGUUGAUAGGCCGGGUGUGUAAGCGCAGCGAUGCGUUGAGCUAACCGGUACUAAUGAACCGUGAGGCUUAACCUU